ACCGGAUAAUCCUUUCCCUCACAUGAGGGAAAGCUGAAAGACGGUUUCGGCUGUCACUUACAGAUGGGCCCGCGGCGCAUUAGCUAGUUGGUGAGGUAACGGCUCACCAAGGCGACGAUGCGUAGCCGACCUGAGAGGGUGAUCGGCCACACUGGGACUGAGACACGGCCCAGACUCCUACGGGAGGCAGCAGUAGGGAAUCUUCCGCAAUGGACGAAAGUCUGACGGAGCAACGCCGCGUGAGCGAUGAAGGCCUUCGGGUCGUAAAGCUCUGUUGUCAGGGAAGAACAAGUAUCGGAGUAACUGCCGGUACCUUGACGGUACCUGACCAGAAAGCCACGGCUAACUACGUGCCAGCAGCCGCGGUAAUACGUAGGUGGCAAGCGUUGUCCGGAAUUAUUGGGCGUAAAGCGCGCGCAGGCGGUUCCUUAAGUCUGAUGUGAAAGCCCCCGGCUCAACCGGGGAGGGUCAUUGGAAACUGGGGAACUUGAGUGCAGAAGAGGAGAGCGGAAUUCCACGUGUAGCGGUGAAAUGCGUAGAGAUGUGGAGGAACACCAGUGGCGAAGGCGGCUCUCUGGUCUGUAACUGACGCUGAGGCGCGAAAGCGUGGGGAGCGAACAGGAUUAGAUACCCUGGUAGUCCACGCCCUAAACGAUGAGUGCUAAGUGUUAGAGGGUUUCCGCCCUUUAUUGCUGCAGCAAACGCAUCAAGUACUCCGCCUGGGGAGUACGGUGGCACGGUGAAACUCAAAGAAUUGAAGGGAGGCCCCCGCCAGCGGCUGUAGCAUCUGUUUUAUUCGAAGA
rnacentral:rRNA from 2 species